rnacentral:rRNA from 2 species
AAUCGCUAGUAAUCGUGGAUCAGAAUGCCACGGUGAAUACGUUCCCGGGCCUUGUACACACCGCCCGUCACACCAUGGGAGUGGGUUGCAAAAGAAGUAGGUAGCUUAACCUUCGGGAGGGCGCUUACCACUUUGUGAUUCAUGACUGGGGUGAAGUCGUAACAAGGUAACCGUAGGGGAACCUGCGGUUGGAUCACCUCCUUA